rnacentral:rRNA from 1 species
CGGCGGACGGGUGAGUAACACGUGGGCAACCUGCCCUUUAGUUUGGGAUAACUUCGGGAAACCGGAGCUAAUACCGAAUAGUACUCUGAACCUCAUGGUUCAAAGUUGAAAGAUGGUUUCGGCUAUCGCUAAAGGAUGGGCCCGCGGUGCAUUAGCUAGUUGGUGAGGUAACGGCUCACCAAGGCAACGAUGCAUAGCCGACCUGAGAGGGUGAUCGGCCACACUGGGACUGAGACACGGCCCAGACUCCUACGGGAGGCAGCAGUAGGGAAUCUUCCACAAUGGACGAAAGUCUGAUGGAGCAACGCCGCGUGAGUGAUGAAGGAUUUCGGUUCGUAAAACUCUGUUGCAAGGGAAGAACAAGUAGCGUAGUAACUGGCGCUACCUUGACGGUACCUUGUUAGAAAGCCACGGCUAACUACGUGCCAGCAGCCGCGGUAAUACGUAGGUGGCAAGCGUUGUCCGGAAUUAUUGGGCGUAAAGCGCGCGCAGGUGGUUUCUUAAGUCUGAUGUGAAAGCCCCCGGCUCA